GAUGAACGCUGGCGGCGUGCCUCAAACAUGCAAGUCGAGCGAGGCUAUGAGUUACCGCAAGGUAAGGCAUAGCCUAGCGGCGAAACGGGUGAGUAACACGUGGGUAACCUACCUGGAAGACAGGGAUAACGAUUCGAAAGGGUCGCUAAUACCUGAUAAUAUCCAUCUGCCGGAUGGCGGAGGGAAGAAAGGGGAAACCCGCUUUCAGAUGGGCCCGCGUCCCAUCAGCUAGUUGGUAAGGUAAAGGCUUACCAAGGCGACGACGGGUAGCCGGUCUGAGAGGAUGUACGGCCACACUGGGACUGAGAUACGGCCCAGACUCCUACGGGAGGCAGCAGUUGGGAAUCUUAGGCAAUGGACGAAAGUCUGACCUAGCGACGCCGCGUGAGGGAAGAAGGCCUUCGGGUGUAAGUUCGUUUUAUAUGUGAGCAGUGCUUCUUAUAUUAACAGUAUGGGUAGAGAGAUAUAGUCAUAUAAUAAGAGAACGGACUAACUCCCGUGCCAGA
rnacentral:rRNA from 1 species